rnacentral:rRNA from 1 species
GACGAACGCUGGCGGCGUGCUUAACACAUGCAAGUCGAACGGACAGGCCCUGCUUUUGUGGGGUGCUCGAUUGGCGAACGGGGGAGUAACACGUGAGUAACCUGCCCUUGACUUUGGGAUAACUUCAGGAAACUCGGGCUAAUACCGGAUAGGAGCUCCUGCUGCAUGGUGUGGGUUGGAAAGUUUCGGCGGUUGGGGAUGGACUCGCGGCUUAUCAGCUUGUUGGUGGGGUAGUGGCUUACCAAGGCUUUGACGGGUAGCCGGCCUGAGAGGGUGACCGGCCACAUUGGGACUGAGAUAGGGCCCAGACUGCUACGGGAGGCAGUAGGGGGGAAUAUUGCACAAUGGGCGGAAGCCUGAUGCAGCAACGCCGCGUGCGGGAUGACGGCCUUCGGGUUGUAAACCGCUUUCGCCUGUGACGAAGCGUGAGUGACGGUAAUGGGUAAAGAAGCACCGGCUAACUACGUG